rnacentral:lncRNA from 1 species
GUCUUGUGUGCGUGUGCAUGUGUGUGUAAGAACACUUUACAUGAGAUGUACCCUCUUAAACUGUAAAGUGUGCAAUGCCAUACUGUUAACUAGAGGCACUGUAUCGUACAGCAGAUCUCUUUUAAAUUUAGACUGAAAUGUGACAUUACAGUCUUCUGUUUGUGAUGACAUUUUUAGGGUGAGUCUUCUUUGGCUCUUAAGCUUUGCUGUAUUUUUUUUCAGUAAAGUGUCUUUGUACAAUUGGUAUAGUUUUAUUUAUUUGUUUUUUGUUAUCAACGUUUUAGUGAAUUGGAUUUUCUAGACUAGCUGUUAGCAGAAGGAUCUCUGUAAGGCAGGGAGGAGUUAAAGCACUGUACUAGUCUCCUAGGGCUGUCGUAACAAAGUACCGCAAACUUGGUGGCCUCAAACAGCAGAAAUGUGUUGUCUCACAGUUCUAGAG